rnacentral:rRNA from 1 species
UACGUAGGGUGCGAGCGUUAAUCGGAAUUACUGGGCGUAAAGCGUGCGCAGGCGGUUCGUUGUGUCGGUGGUGAAAUCCCCGGGCUUAACCUGGGAAUGGCCAUGGAAACUGGCGAAUUGGAGUGCGGCAGAGGGGGGUGGAAUUCCGCGUGUAGCAGUGAAAUGCGUAGAGAUGCGGAGGAACACCGAUGGCGAAGGCAGCCCCCUGGACCGGUACUGACGCUGAGGCGCGAAAGCGUGGGUAGCAAACGGG